UCUCAGUGAUGAAAACUUUGUCCAGUUCUGCUACUGACAGGAAGUGAAGAUAAAGUGUGUCUGAGGAGA
ensembl:snoRNA SNORD38B small nucleolar RNA, C/D box 38B